CAGCAGCAGGAACCACGACUUGACCUCCGGCGGGUUCUACUGAAACAAUGGUGGAGCUCAGAGUAUCUCCAGACCCCGGACAGAACCUACUGGAAAGAUGUAGAAGUCUACUUUGGAUCCUCAGUACACGUGUGUCAGAUCUUACACCUGCUGCCCAAUCUGAGGUGGAUCCAAACGGCGGAGGCAGGAGUUGAUGCAGUGCUGAAGAUCAAAUGGGAC